UACAGAGGCCCCAAGCGUUAGGCGGAAUCACUGGGCUUAAAGCGUGUGUAGGCGUACGCCUAAGUGUCUUGUGAAAUCCCACGGCUCACCCGUGGAACUGCUGGGCAUACUGGGCGUCUUGGGCCAACUUGGGGCAGCCGGAACAAGCGGUGGAGCGGUGAAAUGCGUAGAUAUCGGAAGGAACACCAGUGGCGAAGGCAGGUCUCUGGGCAUUAACUGACGCUGAGGAGCGAAAGCAUGGGGAGCGAACAGG
rnacentral:rRNA from 1 species